rnacentral:rRNA from 1 species
UACAGAGGGUGCGAGCGUUGUCCGGAAUCACUGGGCGUAAAGGGCGCGUAGGCGGCCUGGCAAGUCGGUGGUGAAAGCUCAGAGCUCAACUCUGAGUCGGCCAUCGAUACUGCUAUGGCUCGAGUCGACUAGAGGCAGAUGGAAUUCCGAGUGUAGAGGUGAAAUUCGUAGAUAUUCGGAAGAACACCAGUGGCGAAGGCGGCUCACUGGACUGGUAUUGACGCUGAGGUGCGAAAGCGUGGGGAGCAAACAGG